GUCUAUGGCUAUGCCACCCUGAACAUGCCUGACCUCGUCUGAUCUAAGAAGCUAAGCAGGGUUGGCCCUGGUUAGUACUUGGAUGGGAGACCACCUAGGAAUACCAGGUGCAGUAGGCU
rnacentral:rRNA from 1 species